rnacentral:lncRNA from 1 species
UGUAAACACUCUGUUACRAUCCCAUGAAACAGACUUAUAGUCAGAAAUUAAUCUAACAAUUUAAUACCUAUCCCUUGAGAGAGCAUGGUAAUUCGUAACAGCAUCUCUUGCAAAGCUCGCUUGCUUUCAAGCCUGUGGUAAAUAAUUCGCGUAGCCUCCUCGAGUUCUGCCAUAGCCACGGAGAUCUGCAGCAAUUUGUCUCUUUCCUGAAGAAAAUAAUAUUUGGAUGGAUUUUGUUCCUCUUGCCUCAGGAUCUCAAAGCCCUUUGUGGUUGCAAGGAUAUAUUUAUGCCUUCUAGAUGAAACAAUGUGUGGUGCUAUGAACAUCUUCCAGCUUACCAAGACUUGAUGUGGCAGACACCUAAAAUGACGGUCAGAAAAACCUCUAACUUUUUCAGCUUGCUUCCUGUCGAUGUCCUUCAGAAUGAUGGAGAGCUGCUA